GUCGAACGAAGUAGCAAUACUUAGUGGCAGACGGGUGAGUAACAUGUAGGUAUCUGCCCUUUGGCCUGGAAUAACACGAGGAAACUUGUGCUAAUACCGGAUAAGUCUUUACGGAGAAAGCUUUAUGCACCAUUGGAUGAGCCUGCACUUGAUUAGUUUGUUGGUGGGGUAAUGGCCUACCAAGACUGUGAUCAAUAGCUGAUUUGAGAGGAUGAUCAGCCACAUUGGGACUGAGACACGGCCCAAACUCCUACGGGAGGCAGCAGUGGGGAAUCUUGCACAAUGGAGGAAACUCUGAUGCAGCGAUGCCGCGUGAGUGAAGAAGGCCCUUGGGUUGUAAAGCUCUUUCGUCGGGGAAGAAAAUGACUGUACCCGAAUAAGAAGGUCCGGCUAACUUCGUGCCAGCAGCCGCGGUAAUACGAAGGGACCUAGCGUAGUUCGGAAUUACUGGGCUUAAAGAGUUCGUAGGUGGUUGAAAUAGUUGGUGGUGAAAUCCCAGAGCUUAACUCUGGAACUGCCAUCAAAACUUUUCAGCUAGAGUAUGAUAGAGGAAAGCAGAAUUUCUAGUGUAGAGGUGAAAUUCGUAGAUAUUAGAAAGAAUACCAAUUGCGAAGGCAGCUUUCUGGAUCAUUACUGACACUGAGGAACGAAAGCAUGGGUAGCGAAGAGGAUUAGAUACCCUCGUAGUCCAUGCCGUAAACGAUGUGUGUUAGACGUUGGAAAUUUAUUUUCAGUGUCGCAGGGAAACCGAUAAACACACCGCCUGGGGAGUACGACCGCAAGGUUAAAACUCAAAUGAAUUGACGGGGACCCGCACAAGUAGUGGAGCAUGUGGUUUAAUUCGAAGAUACGCGCAGAACCUUACCAACACUUGACAUGUUCGUCGCGACUCUAAGAGAUUAGAGUUUUCGGUUCGGCCGGACGAAACACAGGUGCUGCAUGGCUGUCGUCAGCUCGUGUCGUGAGAUGUUGGGUUAAGUCCCGCAACGAGCGCAACCCUCACUUUUAGUUGCCAUCAUUAAGUUGGGCACUCUGAAAGAACUGCCAGUGAUAAGCUGGAAGAAGGUGGGGAUGACGUCAAGUCCUCAUGGCCCUUACG
rnacentral:rRNA from 1 species